rnacentral:rRNA from 1 species
GACAGAGGCCCCGAGCGUUAGGCGGAAUCACUGGGCUUAAAGCGUGUGUAGGCGGAUCGUUAAGUGUCUUGUGAAAUCCCACGGCUCAACCGUGGAACUGCUGGGUAUACUGGUUGUCUUGAGCCAGCUAGGGGCGAGCGGAACAGACGGUGGAGCGGUGAAAUGCGUAGAUAUCGUCUGGAACGCCGAAGGUGAAAACAGCUCGCUGGGGCUGCGCUGACGCUGAGACACGAAAGCCAGGGGAGCGAACGGG